AGGCAUUGCCAGUGUGUCUGUCAGGGCACAUCGGAAGGGAGGAGAAGAAAUGGCCUGGAUUGAAGGAGGCACACAAAGAGAGGAGACACCUGCCUUGCAAACCUAGGGCGGGUUACCCUUCCAAUUAUUGAUCCUGUAGUAACAUUUGAGGGCCCCAGGCAGGAUCAGAGCCCCACUGCAUCGGGUGCUAUGCAUAGCACAGAUGGGGUUCCUGGCCCCAAGACCUUGUAGGCUAAACAGACAAUAAAUAGACACAGGGAGAGGGGAGUGAGACACAGCACAGAAGCAGGGGGAUCAGGGGGACACAGUGAUCCCAUUCCGAGUCUUCUUGGAACAUAUACUUGUUGGUGUAUUUGUUUAUAUUACUGCAAAAGCCCAGCUGGAGCAGAGGUGCUUGGAGUUGGAGUGGGAAGAGGAAGGGGUUGUUGGAGCAGGGGCAGGGCAAUUGGUGGGGUGAGAGGGAGCAGAAAGGAAAGCAAAGAAAGGAAGAUGAGAAGCACAGUGAGAAGAAGACAGGAAGGGACAAAGCAGGAAGAACAACCAAAGGCAAGAAAGCAAAUUAUGCUUUGACGGGGAGAGACAAAUCUAGAAGCCAAGGUUCAGAAUUCAAUGAACAUCUAGAGCCUGAAGGUUUCUUCCUGCUGCUGCUCUCUGUAGGAGAUGCUGGGUCUGGUUGGGACUCAGUGGGGCUGAUAAGGGAGUGGCGAGGGCUGAGAGGCUCUGUCUUGCUCCCUCCACCUUUUAGCUGGUGCAGGCUGUUUUGGGAACAGAGCUCUGUAGUUUGCUCCCUGUUGGCUCCUCCUGGGGGCUGCUGUUCUGCCAGCAUCCUAUAACCCACGUCCUCCCCCUCUUCCUAGGCCAGGGGGACAUCACCUCAGACCAUCCACAAUCCCCAUAAGCCAUGUGAUAAGAGGGGCCAUUUCCAGACUAUGGGAGGAUUUGUUGAAUCCCCAUUCAACAUCCAGCAGAUCCCUGCAGUACAGUCCUUCUAACCUUCCAGGAAUGCAGAGGAUACACCAAGGCGGCAGCAGCAUCUUCCUAAGCUGCUGGGGCCCAGCUGUCUCAAGGAUUUAUUUCCAGGGCCAGCUUCAAAGUUCAAGGGGCUGUAAAGGAACCAGAGGAUUGUUCCACCUAUGCUGUAAAGCACAAUAGACAGGAGCAAAGCUGGAGCCGUGUACAAAGGCAGCAUAUCUCCCGGGCACUUCAACCUCUGCUGGCUGGUGUACUUCAGCAGCUGGCACCCAUUCCAGCAGAAGCCUGGAUCUCUCUCCCACCGUGGCCCGGUCCAGGAGGAAGCAUGUCCAUGAUGAACUUAUGGUUGACAUUCAGGACAGAGC